rnacentral:rRNA from 1 species
UACGAAGGGGGCAAGCGUUGUUCGGAAUUACUGGGCGUAAAGGGCGCGUAGGCGGUGCGCUAAGUCAGAUGUGAAAGCCCUGGGCUUAACCCGGGAAUUGCAUUUGAUACUGGCGCGCUUGAAUCCGGGAGAGGUUGGUGGAAUUCCCAGUGUAGAGGUGAAAUUCGUAGAGAUUGGGAAGAACACCGGUGGCGAAGGCGGCCAACUGGACCGGUAUUGACGCUGAGGCGCGAAAGCGUGGGGAGCAAACAGG